rnacentral:rRNA from 1 species
UAAUACGUAGGCAGCAAGCGUUGUUCGGAGUUACUGGGCGUAAAGGGUGUGUAGGCGGUCUUUUAAGUUUGGUGUGAAAUCUCCCGGCUCAACUGGGAGGGUGCGCCGAAAACUGGAAGGCUAGAGUGCGGGAUGGGAGAGUGGAAUUCCUGGUGUAGCGGUGAAAUGCGUAGAUAUCAGGAGGAACACCUGUGGUGUAGACGGCUCUCUGGACCGCAACUGACGCUGAGACACGAAAGCGUGGGUAGCAAACAGGAUUAGAUACCCUGGUAGUCCACGCCCUAAACGAUGCAUAUUUGGUGUGGGCCAUUCAUUUGGUCCGUGCCGGAGCUAACGCGUUAAAUAUGCCGCCUGGGGAGUACGGUCGCAAGGCU